UAUUUGUGUAUUAGCAUUCACAAAUCAAACUUUGUAAUAAAUGCGUUUUUUAUGUAAUAAAUAAAUUAAUACAGCAUUAAUUAAUAUGAGUUAUACACGUUAUUCCUGCAGAAUUAAAAUGAAAGGGUUACAGGCCUACGAUACAAGCUGUCUUAAUUGUAGGUCCGUAUUAUCUUUUUUAUGUAAUAAAAAGAAAAUAUAGCUUAUUGCUCAGUAAUAUUUUAAGAUAAUAAUAAUGUUCAUCAUGUUUUCUGGCAAAUGCAAAUACUUAAAUAAAGGAACCUGAUUAA